AGUGAACGCUGGCGGUAGGCCUAACACAUGCAAGUCGAACGGCAGCACAGUAAGAGCUUGCUCUUACGGGUGGCGAGUGGCGGACGGGUGAGGAAUACAUCGGAAUCUACUUUUUCGUGGGGGAUAACGUAGGGAAACUUACGCUAAUACCGCAUACGACCUACGGGUGAAAGCAGGGGAUCUUCGGACCUUGCGCGAUUGAAUGAGCCGAUGUCGGAUUAGCUAGUUGGCGGGGUAAAGGCCCACCAAGGCGACGAUCCGUAGCUGGUCUGAGAGGAUGAUCAGCCACACUGGAACUGAGACACGGUCCAGACUCCUACGGGAGGCAGCAGUGGGGAAUAUUGGACAAUGGGCGCAAGCCUGAUCCAGCCGUACCGCGUGGGUGAAGAAGGCCUUCGGGUUGUAAAGCCCUUUUGUUGGGAAAGAAAAGCAGCAGGUUAAUACCCCGCUGUUCUGACGGUACCCAAAGAGUAAGCACCGGCUAACUUCGUG
rnacentral:rRNA from 1 species